GACGAACGCUGGCGGCGCGCUUAACACAUGCAAGUCGAACGGAAAGGCCCUGCUUUUGUGGGGUGCUCGAGUGGCGAACGGGUGAGUAACACGUGAGUAACCUGCCCUUGACUUUGGGAUAACUUCAGGAAACUGGGGCUAAUACCGGAUAGGAGCUCCUGCUGCAUGGUGGGGGUUGGAAAGUUUCGGCGGUUGGGGAUGGACUCGCGGCUUAUCAGCUUGUUGGUGGGGUAGUGGCUUACCAAGGCUUUGACGGGUAGCCGGCCUGCGAGGGUGACCGGCCACAUUGGGACUGAGAUACGGCCCAGACUCCUACGGGAGGCAGCAGUGGGGAAUAUUGCACAAUGGGCGGAAGCCUGAUGCAGCAACGCCGCGUGCGGGAUGACGGCCUUCGGGUUGUAAACCGCUUUCGCCUGUGACGAAGCGUGAGUGACGGUAAUGGGUAAAGAAGCACCGGCUAACUACGU
rnacentral:rRNA from 1 species